rnacentral:tRNA from 1 species
UCCGGUGUGGUCUAGUGGCUAGGAUACCUGGCUUUCACCCAGGAGGGCCCGGGUUCGAUUCCGGUACCGGAA